rnacentral:lncRNA from 1 species
ACUCCAGUCAUCUUUCUAGUUCACAUGACAGAGAGAGGUCAAAACACCAACGAGGACCCCCGGGACUGGCAGGAAGAACGGAUGACGGUGGGGAAAGGCCAUGAUUCCUUGAGGAAGAAGGGAGAAGAGAAUGGUCUAAAAUGGAACCAGGUGUUCCAGAAAAGUCUAGAAGACACCUCUGGAGACAUCUGGACUAUGCAUGGUAAAACAGCAGUGUUAGCAAACAGUAGCUAUCACUACUAUUGUGGAAUGAAAGUGAUGAGAAACCAUUAAAACCCUCAUUUAAUCCACCGAGAAA